UACGUAGGUGGCAAGCGUUUGUCCGGAUUCACUGGGCGUAAAGCGCGCGCAGGCGGCUUUCUACGUCUGGGGUGAAAACCCAGGGCUCAACCCCUGGGACUGCCUUGGAGUACGGGAAAGCUUGAGGGAUCGGAGAGGCAAGGGGGAAUUCCACGUGUAGCAGUGAAAUGCGUAGAGAUGUGGAGGAACACCUGUGGCGAAGGCGCCUUGCUGGCCGAUUUCUGACGCUGAGGCGCGAAAAGCGUGGGGGAG
rnacentral:rRNA from 1 species